rnacentral:tRNA from 1 species
UCCUCUGUAGUUCAGUCGGUAGAACGGNCGGACUGUUAAUCCGUAUGUCACUGGUUCGAGUCCAGUCAGAGGAGCCA